UUUUUUUACCAUUGUUGUACUCGGAGCAAUAGUUUAUUUUCCAAAUUCAGCUAGGACUAGUGGAAUAGAAGCUUAGGCCAACUGAAUCCCAGACAGCAGAGCUUGAGAAACAGUGUGUUCUACAGGUCUCAGGUAGCACCAUCGUGAAAAGUUUCUGGGUAAACGAUAUACACAAGAGAGAAGAACUAAAGCUGAUCCUCCACAACUCACAUCCAAAUGAUGGCUGUGAAAUUCAAUUAGCAAUUGGUUGAUGUGCGGUUGUCAGACUAUCAUAGAUGGACCUGGUGAAAAAGAAUUGCCGUCUAACUCCAUUCCAAGACCUAUGGAACGCCACCAAUGGAGAUGCUCAAAAUGCAUCCAAUUCACGGCCACAAGGCAUAUAUCCUAGGGAAUGUAAGCGGGAGGGGGCAGGACUUGAUAUGCAGCAAUGUAGAAAUGAAAGAAAUAAGAAGCAACGUGAAUCAUAUAAAAGAAAGAAAGGUCAAAGAAUUAAACAUGGAAAACAUGGUUCCUGAUGAACAUAACACUGACAAUGCGAACAUAUCCAUCAAU